GCGUCAACUUAGUAUCGCUACAUUGUUCAUUAAUUAUAUUUUUGUAUUAUACUUAUUUUAUGUUAUAAAUCUUUUAUUUUUUUUUUAUAAUUUUGUUCAAAGUUGAGAUGUUUUAACUCUUCAAUAUUUUUGAAAUGACUUGUGAUUUGGGAUGGAUGGAGUAACUCUUUUUAUGAUCCAUGUACUACUCAUUUUCGGACCACCGGUAGUAGUCAUCACGUUUUCUCAUUUCCCCUUUUUUUUUCCCCAAAAAAGCAAUGGCGUGUGCCAGGCGUAGUAUAUCUAUCGAAAAAGAAGGGCACGUUUUCUCAUUUUCUAAUCAGGUUUGGUAGUUAUAGGUUUGUUUUUUCAAGUGGAUGCGAAUUUUUUAAUGUUUAGCUGCUACUCCAGGCAAUUUUAAGCCAUCGUCUAAUGACAGGAAUAUUUUAUUUAGAGGAACUCUAAGAGACUCUCUAGAUCUUUUCUAAAUGCUAGGAAUAGAGAUUUUGAUGAAAAGGUUACCCUCCAACAAUUUGUCUAAAUGGUUAUGUAAAUAUAGCUAUCUUUUAUUCUGAAUUUUUCGCUAGUCAAAAAUAGAAGACGAGAAUUACUCUCUAGAGUGUGCACGAGAGAUAGAAAAACUGUUGCAGAGUGAAAAAAUAUAGAAGCGAUUUUUAUGGAAAUGAUUCUCUAAAUGAUGAUUUAGAGAGUGAGAUUUGCAAAAAAAUUUGGAAAUGCUCUUAGCCAUCUAAUCAACAUUCGAUAUAUAGCCCUCAAAUGGUACAACAAUAUUAAGCUAUGUAUAGUUGUAGUUUUAGGUGAUUUAAUUUAAUAAACAUAAAAACAAUUGAAAAGUGCCAAAGUUGUUAAUUUUAACUUAUUUAGUACUUUUGAGUCAGCAGGUCUUCUUUUAGAAUUUAGAAUGAAGGCGUGCUGCACAACCACCAGGCCGCUACCCUGAGCAUAAAAUAAUAUAGUUAGUCUCAAUAUCAACUCUAAAGCUGUUAAUCAGUCAAAAAAGAUAAGUGUUUCCAUUCUUUUUAUUUUGUAUGAUGAAAUUGGCAACAGAUCCUUUUAGCUGCUAAUUGAGAGUAUUCGAAAUUUUCCUUUUCUGCUAUUAAAGUUGAAUUGGUGUGUUUGAUAAAUCAUGCAUCCCUAUGCAUCAAUACAUUUUUUGUUUAGAAAGUUUUUUAGUGCAAUGUAGAACAAAGGAACAACCAAGUAGGUGCUAUGCAGCUUUUCAAUAAGAAAAAAAAUAAUCUAAAUUCAAGUCGAGGAGAACUCGUACUUGAUUGGUUGAGUGUCUAACUGCACCUCCUACUCAAUCGAUAGAGCUAAACACACUUUCUGUAUAAUCUAACACCCUUAUGCAACCAAUAGCCUAUUUGGAAUGUGUAAAACUUUCUUCAUUUCAAUGUUUUUCCUAUGAAAUUCCUGCAUAAUUUUUAUGAAAUUUCUGCAUUCCAAAUGCCCGUGAUACUAGUAUUUGAAAGUUGUUAUGACGAGGAGGAAGAAAACAUGCCCGUGGUACUACUCUUUAUGGAAGUUGUCAUGAUGAGAAGGAAGCUAUAGAGCUAGGUCUAUCCAUGUCUGGGCCAAGUCACUCCUUGUCUUGGGAGGAGCAUGUCCUACUCCAUAAAAAACAAAGACUAAAAAGAGAGUACCAUCAACUCCCAAGACCCAAACCAAGCCGGUAAGCCAAUUUUCACUUUAGCUAACUAUCCAUUUCAGGCAGACAGAGAGUUGAGACCACGAGGCACAUAUUAUCAUAAUAGUAGGAGUACCUUCGUGCAAAACUUUGGUGCAAAUAUUUACCUACGGUAUGAAGAUAUAUAUGCUCCCCAUAAAAAAAGAGAGAUGUUUUACAUGAAUAUAUGAAAGAGGCUUUAUUUUAAAAUGAAAUAUUGCUCAAACAUUAAAAAAGAAGAGGGUACAAUUAGAACACUAUGUACUACAGUAUGCUUUUCGAUCAGCUUGGGUGUUAGUAGAGUGUCGGAGAAGUUCUGGCAUACUGGUGCGGUCAUAAAUGUUGUUUUGCGAUUGCACUUUGCUCCCCUUUGAACUUUCUUUGCCAGGGCGUCUUCGAUCACUGGCAGCUCAAUCUGACUAGGCGUCUAGCUAGGCCUCUGAAGAUGACAACGAUCGAGCUAGCACGGAAACAAGUCUAAUAAUGAAUAGUACGGGCGUGACUUUGUGCUCCAGCGUUAUACUAGUAGCUUAAUUAGUUGUUCUAGAUCGAGAGCACGGCGCGCUUAUACGUGGACAUGGAUGCCAAUCUUCCGGGAGCGGCGAGCGUUUGGAUAAGGUCUUUUGCACACAAAGGCACACAAAGAGUGAAAAGCACACACCGAUACACACACACUCUACACAUAAAACAUAGGCAAGCAAACUCUUACAAAUUUCAGCGGUUGGAUCACAAAGACAUCGACCGAUCAUUGAUCCAAAAGGCCAAAACGUUUGUUCACCUCAGUACUCGGGGAGCUGGCGAUCGGCAGAUGGAGAGGGGCAGACAAAGCCAAAAGGCCGAAAGGCGUUGCGUAAAGCGGGAACAGGUGAGGCAUCCAUGUGGGCGGCACGGUACAAAGCGGACAGGGCGGCCCCCGGCGCGGUGGCGCACCUUGGCGGUUGCGGCGGCAAUGAUCCCCGGCUCCGGGCGUGCGCGGCUGGCUGGGGUUGGGGCUGGCACGGGUAGAGGGGCACUGGUCCCAGUGCUGUAUGCCGGCCAAACGUGCGUGCAACCGCCUAUCAUGCUUGCAUUGCCCUCGUCCAGACUAGUUGUCAGAUCAUUUUGACCUGGUCAUCCGGUCCAGUCUCGUCAGCGCACUAGUCCAACUGGUCAACAAAUUCGAUCAGUCAGACCCAUACAGUCCUGCAGUCUUGCAUGACACCGAGCACGAGUACUGUUAACUGCAAUGCCUCCCAACGAAGCGGUACUCUACUGUACUGUACAUUACUCUACUCCCAUCCUAUGCCAAUACAACAGAAAUUCUUAAUAAGCUGGGUUCUUGAUAAGAUCCUUCAGAAUAAGCGACAGUGGUUGGGCUGGCCGGUUGGGCGGGAGUUAAAGAAGCAGGGGGCACACGUGUAGCAGGGGACAUGUUGCCCGGCCGUGCCCGCGCUCAUGCCAUGCCAUGCCACGCCGGUGGGUUAAUGCAGAUGCAGGAGACGGGGGCGAUGACGGGGGGGCCAGCCUGGUGGCUGGUGCGCGUCUUGUCGUAGCCCGGCAGCCCCCCUCGACGUGGCUCGCUCCGCGGCCCCGGCCGGCCCAUCACUCCGUCGCCACAUCCCACGCGCGCUGGCCGUCGUCAGCCGAAGGAGAAAAAAAAAAAAGGCAUCGCAUGCGCGCGAGCGCGCUCCCGCUGGCCGCUGCGCCUCCAACUCCCGGCCGCGACCGCGGCAGCCGGCAGAGCAGGGAUCGGAUAGGAAUGCGCCCAUGCCUCCUAUUCCUAUGCGCCAUCGAUGGAUGGCCCGGCCUGGCUACCAAAGGCAUAUUUACAAUACCAGAUGAGAUGAAGAUGAGUAACAGUGUGACACACUAAACACAGGGAGGCAGGAAGUCAGAGCGGCCAUUGAAUCCCUUGUCUGGUAACGUUUGGUGCCAUCCACUCUCCGACCCCGGGCCCCGCGUUUGAUUCCCAGACCCAGCAAGUACGCGCCAAAAAGGGUUUCCUUCAUUCGCGUCAGUGUGAUCGAUCGAGCCAUCUAGUUGGACUGAUAAAUAAAUGGCGGGGAAUUCUGGUUGCGUUGCGUUGCCACCCCCUCGCUCAUUACUCCCGCCGGCCCAGCCCCCGUCGAAUCACCAGGCGGGAGACAUGCCACUGUGCGCGGACCAUGACGCGGCGACGUGGCUCAAGGCUUUCUGAUCGAGCUGCUGCCUUUGCCUCCGCGCGCGCACGGUGGCGCGCGGCAUCAUUGGUGAUGCGCUGCAUCUUGCACUGCGCCCGUGCAUGGGAGUGGGACAGCGACGAGGCCGCGGACAUUCCCAGCUACCGGCGGGGCCGCGCCCUCCAUCCUGGUCGCUAUCCUACCGCACGCCCGCAGGUGCGAUGCCGGCGCUGUGUCUUUGAGACCGUGGCAACUGUGAGCGAUUCAACCCUCCGCACGCGCUCCAUCCAAUCCAACUGUCGAGAUCGGAGAUCGAUCGGACACUGUUUCCUUUCCUUGAGGCGCGCAUGUGCACGACGGCCAACAGUGGCCGUGCCUGUUGUUUUGCGAUAAACAUCUAGUGGCCCUUUCUCCCCAGCAGAAAUGGCGGGAGACCUUGCCCCCCCUUUUUUUUUUUCUUCAUCUGAUCUGAUGAUGAGAGCCCAGCUGGGACUCGUAUUAUCAUCAAGCCCAAUCGUUAUUAACUAGGAGGUCUGUGUCUCUAUGUGUCCUAACUUUAGGCCCAAGUUUGGAUGGAUGUUCUCCUGCUGGGCCUAGGGGUGUCUGUCACUUUCUACCCUGCUAUCUAUAUUUAGCAAAUGAUGAGAUGAGACCAUGCUGAUUGUCAGUUUGUAUAUGUGACGUGUGCUCUCCCGCUGCCGUCGGGCGUAAUCUCCCAGAUGAUUGGCGUCGUAGGGCCGCUCUUUGGUCCGGUGACAAUAAUGUCUUGUCACCCCUUCAGUCCUUCACAAUCAUAGUGUUUGAUGGCCUAGCAACGGGUUCUAAGGACAUGGCAUCCGGCAUUUGGUAAUACAGAACUUAUGUUUGCUGCUUAAGCUCAUCCACUGGCUUCACUGCAGCCGAGGGCUUGGCAUAGGGCCAGUGGGCUUUUUUGGCGACAAUGGAGGGUGAUCCCGAUUCACAGCCAAUGGGAGGUCCGGUAUUCCUUGCUGGACACCUGUAAGGCUGUAACAGGCCAUUACCAAGUUUCCCUAUCCUCUUCAGUCACUGCAGACUGCAGGCAGCGCAAGAGCACCGUGCGCUAGGUGAUGGGAGUCCGGGCUCUCUAGCACAGGCACAAUCGUGCCGCUCCUGUCACCGGUGGGGUGCAAAAAAUCGUCACCGAGACCUCAUUGUCUGAAGAAGCAGAUUGCAGGCUAAUAAGGCCUUGUUUAGUUCACUCCAAAAAUCAAAAAGUUUUCAAGAUUCUCUAUCACAUCGAAUCUUACGGCACAUAUGCAUGAAUUAUUAAUUUUAGACAAAAUCAAAAACUAAUUACACAGUUUACCUGUAAAUCACGAGAUGAAUCUUUUGAUACUAAUUAGUCUAUAAUUAGAUAAUAUUUGCCACAAACAAACGAAAGUACUACAGUAGCGAAAUCUAAAAAGAUUUCGCAUCUAAACAAGGCCUAAAUCCUUUCAGUAUGUAUGACACUGCAGGUCUUUACAAACUCCUCAAGGCAAAGGACGGCGCCCCACAUUCAGAGACCACGUUUAUUUGGAAGAACGCGGCGCCGCCCAGAGUUCAACUUUUCAUUUGGUUUUUGACGCAAUGGAGAAUUCAGGGUCAGAUUAAUUUGCAUCGGAAGAAAACCAUGGAUUCCGACUUGUGAAGUCUGUGGCUUGGCAGAAGAAAGUGCUGCACACAUUAUCAGUGAGGUGGCCUUGUUCAGUUUGGUGGGGAAAAUCCCCCCUCAAUCCCCUUGUUCAUAACAUGCAAGGGACUGAAAUAAGACAACUUUUUUAGCUCAUUUACGAUGAUCCUAGAGCCUGUUUGCCCCUUUGCUAAACUUUAGCUAGCUAAAAUUAUUUUAACUAUUCUUAGGUGAUUAAUGGGACUAAACUAAAAUAGUUAAAGUUUAGCUAUUUAGUAAGGGGAACCAAACAGGACCCUAAUAUUCGUAAUAACAAGCAGAUAAAAAAAUGGAGCAGGGGGAUUCUGACCUCUGAAGUUAGCAUGAUCAUCUAUGCUUAACGCUUUAAAAUCGGUUUCAGGGUGCAAUGGCCACUUAGAGUUGG
rnacentral:lncRNA from 1 species